rnacentral:rRNA from 1 species
AUUGAACGCUGGCGGCAUGCCUUACACAUGCAAGUCGAACGGUAACAGGUUAAGCUGACGAGUGGCGAACGGGUGAGUAAUAUAUCGGAACGUGCCCAGUCGUGGGGGAUAACGUAGCGAAAGCUACGCUAAUACCGCAUACGAUCUACGGAUGAAAGCGGGGGAUCGCAAGACCUCGCGCGAUUGGAGCGGCCGAUAUCAGAUUAGGUUGUUGGUGAGGUAAAAGCUCACCAAGCCUGCGAUCUGUAGCUGGUCUGAGAGGACGACCAGCCACACUGGAACUGAGACACGGUACAGACUCCUACGGGAGGCAGCAGUGGGGAAUUUUGGACAAUGGACGCAAGUCUGAUCCAGCAAUGCCGCGUGCAGGACGAAGGCCUUCGGGUUGUGAACUGCUUUUGUACGGAACGAAACGGUGGGCUCUAAUACAGUUUGCUAAUGACGGUACCGUAAGAAUAAGCACCGGCUAACUACGUGCCAGCCGCCGCCGUAA